rnacentral:rRNA from 1 species
AACCUGCCUCAUACUCGGGGAUAGCCUUUCGAAAGAAAGAUUAAUAUCCGAUAGCAUAUAUUUCCCGCAUGGGUUUUAUAUUAAAGAAAUUCGGUAUGAGAUGGGGAUGCGUUCCAUUAGUUUGUUGGCGGGGUAACGGCCCACCAAGACUACGAUGGAUAGGGGUUCUGAGAGGAAGGUCCCCCACAUUGGAACUGAGACACGGUCCAAACUCCUACGGGAGGCAGCAGUGAGGAAUAUUGGUCAAUGGACGCGAGUCUGAACCAGCCAAGUAGCGUGAAGGAUGACUGCCCUAUGGGUUGUAAACUUCUUUUAUAUGGGAAUAAAGUGGUCCACGUGUGGAUUUUUGUAUGUACCAUAUGAAUAAGGAUCGGCUAACUCCGUGCCAGCAGCCGCGGUAAUACGGAGGAUCCGAGCGUUAUCCGGAUUUAUUGGGUUUAAAGGGAGCGUAGGCGGAUUGUUAAGUCAGUUGUGAAAGUUUGCGGCUCAACCGUAAAAUUGCAGUUGAUACUGGCAGUCUUGAGUGCAGUAGAGGUGGGCGGAAUUCGUGGUGUAGCGGUGAAAUGCUUAGAUAUCACGAAGAACUCCGAUUGCGAAGGCAGCUCACUGGAGUGUAACUGACGCUGAUGCUCGAAAGUGUGGGUAUCAAACAGGAUUAGAUACCCUGGUAGUCCACACAGUAAACGAUGAAUACUCGCUGUUUGCGAUAUACAGU